ensembl:snRNA U6 U6 spliceosomal RNA
AGGCUUAUUUAGCAGCACAUACACUAAAAUUGGAAUGAUACAAAGAUUAGCAUGGCCCCUCUGCAAGGAUGACACACAAACUCAUGAAGCGUUCCAUAUAUUU